UUUUUGUUGUGUGUUAAAGCAGGCAGAGUCACAAGAUCAAACUAAUAUAGGAAGAAGCAGAAUAGCCUUAGUCCUUCUGUUAGAUAAAUAGUCCAUGUGCCCAGGAGGAGAAGAGUGAUAUACAGACUUCACUGCCACAUUCAAGACUCUCCUAUCCCUCCUGCCUCUAGUCAUCAUUUUCAAGAGCUUCAAUCUCUCUACUAACCACUCCCCUAAACACCUGGCCUCAUAGGGCAAAGGAGCAUGAAGCUCAUUCCAUUUGUUAUACCAUGAGUAAUGAAGUCAUCUGUCUGUCUCUGUUCUCUGCUACCAUCUAUGAACAUGUGGCUGGCUAAUCUGUUAGCUUGUAAGAAAGUCAUUCUCUACCCAAAAGCACAAAGAAGACAUCCUUUUGAGAAGAUGAACAUGAACAUUCACUAAGAAUGUGUCCUCUACGCGAUCUCCUUUGUCUGGAAUUUUUAAACACCCUUCCCUUUGAACACCGGCUGCCUGGUUGUGUUGAACUGCAGGUGAACGCUAAUCAUGCUGGCUGGAGUUCUCAGUGUCUGUCUGCAUUUGUCACUGAACAAAAAUAAGUAAAAACAUUCUGGAGUUCUAAAAUCAAAGGUCCUUUCUAUCAUAUGGGCCAAGUUCCGAGACUGUUUCAAGACUCCUUGUGAACAAGACAAAAAGAAAAGUGGCAGCUCAGCUCAGAGCCCUUCCUUAAAAAUAACUCUCCAGGGCGCCUGGGUGGCUC